CACCUGUCAACCUGAAGAAGUAAAAAGGACUGUGCAUCUAUAAUAUGUUUGUGACUAUUUGAUCACUCUCACAGCUGACUGCCUAACAAGGAAUUACCUUCAGCAAAGGCAAGUCUUCUUGCCCAAGAUUAUGUCUCCUUUUCAGGAACAUCCUAUCCAAAGGCAGGCCAAUGUGGGGCAUAAGGGCUUGGCCCUCUUGCUUUUAUUUGGGACAUUCCAACUACAGAGAACCCCAUGGUAUCAGCCAAGGUCUCUGUCACAACUGCAUCACAGUUCAUGUUCUCAUUUUGUCCAGUACUCUAUCUUUCCCAUCACUGCUCUUGGAUUUUAUUUUGAAAGUAUUUCUUAAUAAACCACCUGAAAACCUUAA